rnacentral:rRNA from 1 species
UGAACGCUGGCGGCGUGCCUAAUACAUGCAAGUCGAGCGAACAGAUGAGGAGCUUGCUCCUCUGACGUUAGCGGCGGACGGGUGAGUAACACGUGGAUAACCUACCUAUAAGACUGGGAUAACUUCUGGAAACCGGAGCUAAUACCGGAUAAUAUAUUGAACCGCAUGGUUCAAUAGUGAAAGACGGUUUUGCUGUCACUUAUAGAUGGAUCCGCGCCGCAUUAGCUAGUUGGUAAGGUAACGGCUUACCAAGGCAACGAUGCGUAGCCGACCUGAGAGGGUGAUCGGCCACACUGGAACUGAGACACGGUCCAGACUCCUACGGGAGGCAGCAGUAGGGAAUCUUCCGCAAUGGGCGAAAGCCUGACGGAGCAACGCCGCGUGAGUGAUGAAGGUCUUCGGAUCGUAAAACUCUGUUAUUAGGGAAGAACAAAUGUGUAAGUAACUAUGCACGUCUUGACGGUACCUAAUCAGAAAGCCACGGCUAACUACGUG